rnacentral:rRNA from 1 species
CUCCUACGGGAGGCAGCAGUGGGGAAUAUUGCACAAUGGGGAAACCCUGAUGCAGCCAUGCCGCGUGUGUGAAGAAGGCCUUCGGUUGUAAAGCACUUUCAGUAGGGAGGAAGGUAGUGUAGUUAACACCUGCAUUAUUUGACGUUACCUACAGAAGAAGCACCGGCUAACUCCGUGCCAGCAGCCGCGGUAAUACGGAGGGGUGCGAGCGUUAAUCGGAAUUACUGGGCGUAAAGCGCAUGCAGGCGGCCUGUUAAGUCAGAUGUGAAAGCCCGGGGGCUUAACCUCGGAAUUGCAUUUGAAACUGGCAGGCUAGAGUCUUGUAGAGGGGGUAGAAUUUCAGGUGUAGCGGUGAAAUGCGUAGAGAUCUGAAGGAAUACCAGUGGCGAAGGCGGCCCCCUGGACAAAGACUGACGCUCAGAUGCGAAAGCGUGGGGAGCAAACAGGAUUAGAUACCCUGGUAGACUGUCA